AGCGGGUGCAGAGCUUGGCUGAUUGGUGAACGUGCAUGGCUUGUGUUUUUGUUCACAGUGGCUAAGUUCUUCACCCGAA
rfam:Danio rerio chromosome 10, GRCz11 reference primary assembly.